GAUGAACGCUAGCUACAGGCUUAACACAUGCAAGUCGAGGGACCGGCGCACGGGUGAGUAACGCGUAUCCAACCUGCCCUUCACCACGGGAUAACCCGGCGAAAGUCGGACUAAUACCGUAUGGUGAAGGAUGGGGUGGCGUCCGAUUAGCUUGAUGGCGGGGUAACGGCCCACCGUGGCUACGAUCGGUAGGGGUUCUGAGAGGAAGUUCCCCCACACUGGAACUGAGACACUGUCCAGACUCCUACGGUAGGCAGCAGUGAGGAAUAUUGGUCAAUGGGCGUAAGCCUGAACCAGCCAAGUAGCGUGCAGGACGACGGCCUAUGGGUUGUAAACUGCUUUUAUGCGGGGAUAGGUACCGCAUGAAUAAGGACCGGCUCAUUCCGUGCCAGCAGCCGCGGUAAUUC
rnacentral:rRNA from 1 species